rnacentral:rRNA from 1 species
CGGGAAGAGCCCAUCGCUGAAUCCGCGGACCCGACCGGGCCCGUGGAGUUGUGGCGUGAGGCGGCUUCGGGCGUGCGAGUCCACGACGCCGAGGUCCUCCUGAUCGGGGCGCCUCAACCCAGAGCGGGUGUCAGGCCCGUUCGGGCGUCGGGUCUCGCGGGCCUGGAGCCACCAAGAGUCGGGUUGUUUUGGAAUGCAGCCCAAAGAGGGGUGGUGAACUCCAUCCAAG